rnacentral:rRNA from 1 species
UACGUAGGGGGCAAGCGUUGUCCGGAAUCAUUGGGCGUAAAGCGCGAUGUAGGCGGCCAGAAAACGUCCGCUGUGAAAACUCGAGGCUCAACCUCGAGACGUCGGCGGAAACCAUCUGGCUAGAGUCCGGAAGAGGAGAGUGGAAUUCCUGGUGUAGCGGUGAAAUGCGUAGAUAUCAGGAGGAACACCGGUGGUGUAGACGGCUUUCUGGACCGUAACUGACGCUGAGACACGAAAGCGUGGGUAGCAAACAGG